UACGAAGGGGGCUAGCGUUGCUCGGAAUCACUGGGCGUAAAGCGCACGUAGGCGGAUUCUUAAGUCGGGGGUGAAAGCCUGUGGCUCAACCACAGAAAUGCCUUCGAUACUGUAGAGCUUGAGACCGGAAGAGGUAAGUGGAACUGCGAGUGUAGAGGUGAAAUUCGUAGAUAUUCGCAAGAACACCAGUGGCGAAGGCGGCUUACUGGUCCGGUUCUGACGCUGAGGCGCGAAAGCGUGGGGAGCAAACAGG
rnacentral:rRNA from 1 species